CAUGCAAGUCGAGCGAAUGGAUUAAGAGCUUGCUCUUAUGAAGUUAGCGGCGGACGGGUGAGUAACACGUGGGUAACCUGCCCAUAAGACUGGGAUAACUCCGGGAAACCGGGGCUAAUACCGGAUAACAUUUUGAACCGCAUGGUUCGAAAUUGAAAGGCGGCUUCGGCUGUCACUUAUGGAUGGACCCGCGUCGCAUUAGCUAGUUGGUGAGGUAACGGCUCACCAAGGCAACGAUGCGUAGCCGACCUGAGAGGGUGAUCGGCCACACUGGGACUGAGACACGGCCCAGACUCCUACGGGAGGCAGCAGUAGGGAAUCUUCCGCAAUGGACGAAAGUCUGACGGAGCAACGCCGCGUGAGUGAUGAAGGCUUUCGGGUCGUAAAACUCUGUUGUUAGGGAAGAACAAGUGCUAGUUGAAUAAGCUGGCACCUUGACGGUACCUAACCAGAAAGCCACGGCUAACUACGUGCCAGCAGCCGCGGUAAUACGUAGGUGGCAAGCGUUAUCCGGAAUUAUUGGGCGUAAAGCGCGCGCAGGUGGUUUCUUAAGUCUGAUGUGAAAGCCCACGGCUCAACCGUGGAGGGUCAUUGGAAACUGGGAGACUUGAGUGCAGAAGAGGAAAGUGGAAUUCCAUGUGUAGCGGUGAAAUGCGUAGAGAUAUGGAGGAACACCAGUGGCGAAGGCGACUUUCUGGUCUGUAACUGACACUG
rnacentral:rRNA from 1 species